GGUGUGCUGCCUUUCUUCCAGUGCCGACAAGAUGGCUAGUUUGUCGCCCCGUAACCCUGGUGGUGGGCUCCCAUGACUGCCUCCUGGGUUACCUACCACUUAGGUAGCAUCUCAUCUCCCUCUGCUCACUCACUCGCUGACUGAGCUGCAGCGUUUGUAAACAAUAGUGUGUCUACUGUUGAGGUUCAUGGGAUUUCCCAUCUUGGAGUGUAAUACUAACUCUUAAGUGUUGUACUUGCACAUGUAAUGCUGCGCAAGAAGGUACACAUACUCGGGCCAGGC